UGCCCAAGAAUGACUUUCAAUUUUAUUUCCAUUCAAGUCAAAAGAGAGAGCACUGCCCAGAAUGACAUACAUAUAGUUGCCUAGACUAACAAUAUUAAAAAACUAGUACAUUUCCAUAAACAUUCAGUUUCAGCCCUUGAAUCCAAUCGAUAAAAAAUUGUUUAAUCCAUUACUAUCAUUUUACAUUUCAAGCUACCUUCAAUGACACAAAAGUAGUAGCUUUCUACAAUUCAAUUUCUGCGAGAAGUGGCUGCAGCUGUGGUUGCACAUCUUCGUGAGUAAAAUCUAGCGGCCUGUAGCUGUGAAGACUCAUUGACGUCUAAAAGAGUUUAUUAUGCACUCUCUCUCUAUCUCUCAACAAUGGAGUGCACUUUUCUACUGAUUUUAGGGCAAAUUUGACCUCCAUAACGACUCAUUUUUUCUCGCCUCAUCUGAAUUCGCUUCAUGAAUGUCAUCUAAAUGGAUGUAAGUAUGUUCAAAAUCAUUUUUCCCAAUUAAAGUCUUGUUGAAAACCUCACAGACAUUGUUCAGAAAGAUGUCACAUUUUGAAUACAUCUCGAAAUGUGAGUUGCUCCAUUCAUGGAAGGAGGUCCUUCUACCCACCAAAGAAAAAAUCCUCGCUUACACUCCAUAUUUGUUGCAUCCAGUGUUUGCAGUCUACAAUGGUAGUAGACUUUGUGGCAUGCCAUAGAUAAUCUUUCAAUGUUUUAUCUUUGAGAUUAGCAUUGAAAAAAUUAGAGUGCAUGUGGUGCACACAGAACCUAUGCUCAGCCGCCGGAACAAUUCUUCGACGACAUUUUGCAAUCCUUUCUAUCAAUCAGUCAUCAAAGUCAGCCACUCCCAUUGCAAAUAUGAACAUCACUUUCGAAAUGAGUCAUGAACCACUUUCAUGCUAAAGUGUUCUCUUUCUAAACUAUGGCGUAUGCGAUAGGAUAUAUACAAUCAUUUGUAUUGUGACCAACGACGGUCAACAUUAUUCCACUGAAACAUCCCUCUAACUGGCAUCCACCUACUCGGAUAACCUUUUUACAACUUUGAUAAAACCUAUCUUGCAUGCUUCAAAACAUAUGUAGAUACCCUGGGAAACUUGAUUGUUGAUCGCAAUGUAUAUGGUUAAACAUAGGUUAGUCCCAUAAACUUUCGCAGCAUAGGACCACAACUUACCAAAUUGCUCCUCAAUUGUUCCAAGCAACAAUUCCUUUGUAUACCAUCUCAUCUUCCAUGCCACAUUUCAAUAAUAUCAAUCUUCAAGUCUUCCUUCAUUGCCACAAGUAUACUAUUUGUCUUCCAGUUUAAGUCCACCUUGAAAUGCUCAAUGUAACGAUUAGUCAUGAAAACAUAAUUGCAAUAUUUGUUGUACUGGUCUCAACUAUAUGUGUACUCCCAGGUAUAAGUCUUAACUUGGAGAUUGCAUGUUAUUCCCACACUAGAUGCCAUCCAACUGCAACCUAGUUUCCAUAUUCCAUGCACUCGUUUUUCAUUAUUAGUUUUAAAUCUGAUAUUAUACCCAUUCAAAGCUCCAUAUGUUCUUACUGCCUUUCAAAAUUUUACAACACUCCUAAAUAGCUAACUAACAACGAAUUGUGGAUUACUCAUAUUAGCAACCGCCAAAAACUAUGGAAAUCGAUACCCAACCUCGUCAUUGGAUGGACAAUUGGACACAAGCUCUUCAGAGGACAAGUACUCCAAAUCAGCAAUAUGCAUCAACUUCAACAUCAUGCUUAUUCAUACCAUCUAGUUCACCCACAUUCGAACCUACCUCAAUCCCAUCUAUAACGUUAUGUUCAUACAAAUUAUCAUCUCCUUUGGAGUCUAACUCAUCUCCAGGAUCAUUGAAAUUUGGGUCCUCUCCUAAGCAAUAUUUAGUCUCCUCAAUGUUGUUUCUAUCUACAUUAAAGAAUUGAAAACAUCGAAAAAUAGCCAAAGAAAUCAUCAUAUAAAUUCAACAUUGAAAUCAGACAAUACAUUUCAAAAAACUUGUAGCCCAUAAAUUAAAUAACUAUAACCAUGAAGCCAACAAAAAGCCUAUAAACUUUAGUAAUCAUAACCAUAAAGUUCAAUAAAAUUCAAAAAUCAGACUUUGAUGCGGCCAAAAAAUAAUGAAAUAAUAUCAUACUUGUAGACCACAACCAUAAAGUCGACAAUUGUCAAACAAAUCCAACAGAAAAUGAUACUUACACGACUGACACCACGCUAGAAAAUAGCCAAAAAAAUAGAAAAAAGUGAUUGUGGUUACCUUCUUGUGGUUCCUCCGUGUGCCUAUUCGUCAAUUAUUGAGCAUGUGGGGUUGAUUGUGGGGGACAGAAAUCCAAGUUUGAGGUUAGGGAAUAAAUUUGGGACUAGGGGUUGUGAUUUGGAAGAGAUUUG
rnacentral:lncRNA from 1 species